rnacentral:tRNA from 1 species
CGGUAGAUGAGGCGACCUACUGAUUUGGGAUCAGAGGGUCGUAGGUUCGAAUCCUAUCGCUCCGACCA